UGGACAACAACAGUUUUCUGAUCAACCUGUGAAGGAAUCUUGGACUCGAGUUCAAGUUGAGAUGGGGGAAGCUUUAGUGGGGAUGGAGGGUGAGAAACUGCAGGCUUAGUUUGAGGAGAGUAAGUCUGGGAUUUCACUAAAUUAGGCUGGAAGACAUUUUGAGAUGGUGGGGGGGCUUUCGAUGGUGAUGAUUGAUUUAUGAGAGUUUGGAUAGAAUCUGUCGAUUUUGUUUUUG
rnacentral:misc_RNA from 1 species